UAUAACCCUAGCCAAGCCACCGACUCUUCUCGACCUUGCAGCGCCGUUCCGAAGCCCUAGCUCAGCUCGCCGCCGUGGUGACCGCCGUUCGUGGCUUCCUCAUCGUCUCUGAGUCACUACCGAGUAUCCCGUCGAGGAGCCGAGAUGGUCCUUCGGAGCCGCUUCUCCGAUGAACCAAGCAGGACGCUAAGCUUCGUUCUGAGGAACCCGUCCCUGCCUCUCCGAGCCACCCGACAUCCUCACCUUGUAUUUUUUUCAUCAUGAAAUCGCUUGUGGUGAGUUCUCCAUUGUCUCUGUUUUGAUCCUAAUAAGAGCUAGGGGAGUCCGCCUUUCUGCUCUUGCUGUGUGGGCUGCAGCAGGCACUCUCGACCCUCAUCAUCUGCAUUUGAUAAGUCUUGCAUUAUCUUCGUAUCUACUCUGCUGCUCCGAUGGCUAAUUAGCAUGAUGAGAUCACGAUGACAUCACCAUGACAUCAACCCAGCAUUAUUGCCGUUUUCCUUUAGGAAAAUAAAUCUAGUAAUAUAAAUAAAAUACACUAGUUUGUUUACGCCAUAUUUUCUUCGUUUUAACUCUGUUUUUAUCCAUUCAAAUUUCGUUAGAUUCGUAUUUACGAGCUCUACAUGUUAGAAGUAAUAUUUCACUAUUUUGAAACUUUUUAAUUUCCUAGUACUAUUUAAUUAAUUAUUUGUCUAUAGGAAAUCUUAGAAAAAUCAUAACCUCUACGUUUUAAUUUCGAUUUUCGUGAACUUUAUGUUUGUGUGAUCGUAGCGCUGCGUAGAAUAUUUUGAUAAACUUUUAUAUUUGUUUUACUACUGUUUUGUGUAUUGUUCUAAUUAUAGCUUGUUUGCUUCGUGUAUGACUGUCUAUAUUGGAUUGCGUGUUGUUGAUUAAUGAUCGGGUAUAGACGGUGAGCGAUACGUUGGUGAUCAAGGUCAGGCUUUUGAAGAUCAGCAGCAGGCUCAGGAGAGCUUUGAUCAAGGUAAGUAUAACUUGGGAUCAUCCUUGUUACCUAUACACUUAUUAAUACAAUAUAUAUCAUAUGCAUGUGUCCACCUUGAUGACCUUAGCAAAAUCAUAUAUGAUUGUUAUCCUGAAUUCCUUGUUACCUAUUUGGAUAUGCAUUUGGGUAGUUCUUGCUAGUGCUUGAUUAUAAUCCAUGAUCUUGUAAAAUGAAUGUUUGGAUAUACAAUAAACAAUAAAAUAAGCUUUUCUAGCAACUUGAACAUAAAGGGUGGAAAGAACUCUAGCUUUUGCUAGAUUGAUCUUGAGCCUCCAUAAGGACUUAUCCCUUGGCAAAAGCUGGGACAACUCGUACAACCAUGAGGGCUAUAUGGCUCUAGUUUUAGCUCAGUAUGAGGACCUUUUUCUAGCUUGUUAGCGGUUACCUUAAAUGGCGUAAGAAUGGCUAGACACGUUGGGUAUAGUGUGGCCUCUGCCUAUGUGUAUAGGUUGCGGGUUAUGUGCCAUGGAAGGGGGGCUCUAUAUCUGCCUGCCGAGUGAAUCUAAUGGCCCUAACUUGUUAGAUGAAACCUUUGAAAGGCUUCAUAGUGAUCCCUGCCGACCUCCCUUGGAAGGGGGUUAAGAGACUUGCAACCUCGGGCAAAAGGGUAAAUUACGACUCAUGGGUAAAGAUGUACAACCUCUGCAGAGUGUUAAAUCUGGUAUACUAGCCGUGCCCACGGAUACAGGCGGCCCGAAAAACUGACGGAAUAGAUGGACACUGAUGAAUAUGAUUAAUGAUAAUAAAGGAUAGUUUAUUAUGUUGUUUAUAUGUGUUAUUCUUAAUUCUUGUAUACAUUGAUCAUGUGGUUAUGGGAUUUAAUUAUGCUACCUUGAUAUUUGCUAUCCAAUGACUAAAUAUGCUAUCUACAUGUAAAAGCUAAAUGCAGUCAAACCAGUGUCAGCUAAUUGAGCCUCAUGAACUCUUGGUUAUACUUGUUGAGUACGAUAUGUGCUCACUCUUGCAAUUUCCCCCACACUUCAGGAGAUGUUUGGGCUUGUGAUCAACCAGUCAGUUGGAUCCUGUAGAGUGGAGUUAAUACCCGAAGUUGGAGUUGUCUAUCCGCUGUUUGAUACUGAAGGUUAUCUCUUUUAUACUAAGUAUGUUAUAUAUCUAUGCAUUGUCUUUUGAUAUUACCCCUUAUUUGUAGCUAUAUGUGAGAUUUGACUUCUAAAACUCACAUAUGGUGUAUAUUUGGUUUUGUCCUUAAAAUCGGGUAUUACAGUUGUUGAAGAGUAAAAAAUUAUAAACUUUGACCAACAAAAUUAUUCAAAUUACAUACUAGAUUAGGACAUGAAACUUGUAUCAAUAGACUUAUAUCCAAAGUGCCUCUAAUUUGAGAUUGAUUUCUUAGAAAAUGACAACAUAUAGUAAGAAAAAUUAACAACUAAAAUCUAUUUUGUUAGACUUUUUUCUUAUUAAAAUACUCUUAUCAUUUUGAGACAGAGGGAGUACCAGCAACAUGUGCAUGGAGAACAGGACAAGUAUAGAUGUGCUACUGUAGAAAGUAUAGACUUGUACCAUGAGUAGAAAUGGCAUUGUUUCACCCUAACGGGCUCAUGGCCUCACCCUAAGUAUGUAAAGCAAGAGGCGACAGUGGAUGUUUUACCACAAAGGAAGUUCACAGAUGUCAUCUAUGGCAAGUUACACACUUACACUAUGAUAACAAUUUAG
rnacentral:lncRNA from 1 species